GAUGAACGCUGGCGGCGUGCUUAACACAUGCAAGUCGAACGGGAUCCAGGGAGUGCUUGCACUUUUUGGUGAGAGUGGCGAACGGGUGAGUAACACGUGAGUAACCUGUCCUUUUCUUUGGGAUAAGCUCCUGAAAGGGUGUUUAAUACCUUAUGUUCUGUCUGCCUCGCAUGGGGUGGGUGGGAAAGAUUUGUUUCGGUAAGGGGUGGGCUCGCGGUCUAUCAGCUUGUUGGUGGGGUGAUGGCUUACCAAGGCUUUGACGGGUAGCCGGCCUGAGAGGGUGGUCGGUCACAUUGGGACUGGGAUACGGCCCAGACUCCUGCGGGAGGCAGCAGUGGGGGAUAUUGCACAAUGGGCGCAAGCCUGAUGCAGCGACGCCGCGUGGGGGAUGAAGGCCUUCGGGUUGUAAACUUCUUUUGCUCUGAACAAGGCGCAUCUUUGGGGUGUGUUGAGUGUAGGGGUUGAUUAGCGCCGGCUAACUACGUG
rnacentral:rRNA from 1 species